GGUCUAGGAGCUUGUAAUAUAAGCGCCUGAUUGUUACUCAGGGGAAGGUUUGUAGAUGAACCCUAGAUCU
rnacentral:tRNA from 1 species